rnacentral:rRNA from 1 species
AUGCCUCUAGGAGAGAGAAGAGCAAAUACGCUGACAUGUGGCAAGGAACACAGAGGGAAAUCCAAAGCAAGCAUUAGUAACAGGAGCAUGAGCAAUGGGCAAUCGUGGACUUGUUACUGCUGGAGCCCUCCACUCACAUUUUGUACAUGUGGUGGAGGUUCUUAUAUGGCCAGCCCUUCGACCUUUACCUCGCCAAUUGCUGAACAGGGGAAUCAAGUAAUGGAGCAGAGGGAGGUCGACGGAAUGCUUGGAGAAGUGCUACUUUGUAUGGGCACAUUGGGCAGGGCCUGCAAGAUGACGAAGGAAAGGGACUUCAAACUUUCAAAGGCUUUGCAUCACUAUUCUCUCGCAAUGGGCAGCCAUCCAGUGGAAGGAAUUGUUAAGGAGUAUUAG